rnacentral:rRNA from 1 species
GACAGAGGGUGCAAACGUUGUUCGGAAUUACUGGGCGUAAAGCGCGUGUAGGCGGCUAAGUAAGUCGGGCGUGAAAUCCCACGGCUCAACCGUGGAAGUGUACUCGAAACUGCAUAGCUAGAGUCCUGGAGAGGAAGGUGGAAUGCUUGGUGUAGAGGUGAAAUUCGUAGAUAUCAAGCGGAACACCGGUGGCGAAGGCGGCCUUCUGGACAGUGACUGACGCUGAGACGGCGAAAGCGUGGGGAGCAAACAGG